rnacentral:rRNA from 1 species
UGGCGAACGGGUGAGUAAUACAUCGGAACGUGUCCUGUAGUGGGGGAUAGCCCGGCGAAAGCCGGAUUAAUACCGCAUACGACCUAAGGGAGAAAGCGGAGGAUCUUCGGACCUCGCGCUAUAGGGGCGGCCGAUGGCAGAUUAGCUAGUUGGUGGGGUAAAGGCCUACCAAGGCGACGAUCUGUAGCUGGUCUGAGAGGACGACCAGCCACACUGGGACUGAGAUACGGCCCAGACUCCUACGGGAGGCAGCAGUGGGGAAUUUUGGACAAUGGGGGCAACCCUGAUCCAGCAAUGCCGCGUGUGUGAAGAAGGCCUUCGGGUUGUAAAGCACUUUUGUCCGGAAAGAAAACUUCGAGGCUAAUAUCCUUGGAGGAUGACGGUACCGGAAGAAUAAGCACCGGCUAACUACGUGCCAGCAGCCGCGGUAAUACGUAGGGUGCGAGCGUUAAUCGGAAUUGCUGGGCGUAAAGCGUGCGCAGGCGGUCUGUUAAGACCGAUGUGAAAUCCCCGGGCUUAACCUGGGAACUGCAUUGGUGACUGGCAGGCUUUGAGUGUGGCAGAGGGAGGUAGAAUUCCACGUGUAGCAGUGAAAUGCGUAGAGAUGUGGAGGAAUACCGAUGGCGAAGGCAGCCUCCUGGGCCAACACUGACGCUCAUGCACGAAAGCGUGGGGAGCAAACAGGAUUAGAUACCCUGGUAGUCCACGCCCUAAACGAUGUCAACUAGUUGUUGGGGAUUCAUUUGCUUAGUAACGUAGCUAACGCGUGAAGUUGACCGCCUGGGGAGUACGGUCGCAAGAUUAAAACUCAAAGGAAUUGACGGGGACCCGCACAAGCGGUGGAUGAUGUGGAUUAAUUCGAUGCAACGCGAAAAACCUUACCUACCCUUGACAUGGUCGGAAUCCUGCUGAGAGGCGGGAGUGCUCGAAAGAGAACCGGCGCACAGGUGCUGCAUGGCUGUCGUCAGCUCGUGUCGUGAGAUGUUGGGUUAAGUCCCGCAACGAGCGCAACCCUUGUCCUUAGUUGCUACGCAAGAGCACUCUAAGGAGACUGCCGGUGACAAGCCGGAGGAAGGUGGGGAUGACGUCAAGUCCUCAUGGCCCUUAUGGGUAGGGCUUCACA